AUGCUGACAGAGUGUACCUUUAGGGAUAUGUGGUUGGGUUGGGUGAUGCUGACAGAGUGUACCUUUAGGGAUAUGUGGUUGGGUUGGGUGAUGCUGACAGAGUGUACCUUGAGGGAUAUGUGGUUGGGUUGGGUGAUGCUGACAGAGUGUACCUUUAGGGAUGUGUGGUUGGGUGUGCUGACAGAGUGUACCUUGAGGGAUAUGUGGUUGGGUUGCACAUAGUGUACCUGAGGAUGUUGGGGAUGCGACGAGUGUACCUUUAGGGAGGUGUGGUUGGUGGAUGCUGACAGAGUGUACCUUAGGGAGUAUGUGGUUUGGGUUGUGAUGCUGACAGAGUGUACCUUGAGGGAUGUGUUGGUGGGUGAGGCUGACAGAGUGUACCUUGAGGAUGUGUGGUUGGGUGAUCUGACAGAGUGUACCUUUAGGGAUGUGUGGUUGGGUGAUGCUGACAGAUG
rnacentral:lncRNA from 1 species